rnacentral:rRNA from 1 species
GACGAACGCUGGCGGCGUGCUUAGCACAUGCAAGUCGAGCGAUGAAGCUCCUUCGGGAGUGGAUUAGCGGCGGACGGGUGAGUAACACGUGGGUAACCUGCCUCAUAGAGGGGAAUAGCCUUUCGUAAGGAAGAUUAAUACCGCAUAAGAUUGCAGCUUCGCAUGAAGCAGCAAUUAAAGGAGUAAUCCGCUAUGAGAUGGACCCGCGUCGCAUUAGCUAGUUGGUGAGGUAACGGCUCACCAAGGCGACGAUGCGUAGCCGACCUGAGAGGGUGAUCGGCCACAUUGGGACUGAGACACGGACCAGACUCCUACGGGAGGCAGCAGUGGGGAAUAUUGCACAAUGGGGGAAACCCUGAUGCAGCAACGCCGCGUGAGUGAUGACGGUCUUCGGAUUGUAAAGCUCUGUCUUCAGGGACGAUAAUGACGGUACCUGAGGAGGAAGCCACGGCUAACUACGUGCCAGCCGCCGCCGUAA